GAUGAAGAACGUAGCGAAAUGCGAUAAGUAAUGUGAAUUGCAGAAUUCAGUGAAUCAUCGAAUCUUUGAACGCACAUUGCGCCCGCCAGUAUUCUGGCGGGCAUGCCUGUUCGAGCGUCAUUUCCACCAUCAGGCCCCCGGGCCUGUGUUGGGGACCUGCGGCUGCCCACAGGCCCCGAAAUUCAGUGGCGGUCGCGCCGUAGCAACCGAGCGUAGUAACUAAAACGUCUCGCUCUGGCUCGCUGGGCGCGCUCCGGCCGUAAAACACCCCCCCUUUUCGCAAAGGUUGACCUCGGAUCAGGUAGGAAUACCCGCUGAACUUAAGCAUAUCAAUAAGCGGAGGA
rnacentral:misc_RNA from 1 species